GGUAGAGGGAAAUGAAAAGAUCAAAAUGAAUGGAUUAAACUUGUAAUAAAUUAUUGUAACUUGGAUUGUAUUCGGAAGUUGGAAAAAUGUAAUAGUAACUGUGAUGUAAGAAUGUAUCUAGUAUGAAUGCUUGUAAUAGCAAGUAGUUUUAUGUUUUUGAUACUUUCUUAUGCAAUCUUUGAUUGAAAUGUGUUCAUGGUUGGAAUCUCGUACAUUCUAUCGAUUGCGAUGCCUAGAACGUACAGCAAAAACUCUGUCCGUUCGGCGGUCUGUUGACGUGCCCGAACCUGACCAAAUAGGCGGGGCACGGGGCGUGACAACAUCUCUUUAGAGAGAAUAAAGAGAUUACUAAAAGAAAAAAUCUU
rnacentral:lncRNA from 1 species